rnacentral:rRNA from 1 species
UACGUAGGGGUCUAGCGUUGUCCGGAAUUAUUGGGCGUAAAGAGCUCGUAGGCGGUUCGGCAAGUCGGAUGUGAAAUCUCCACGCUUAACGUGGAGGGGCCAUUCGAAACUGCCGUGACUCGAGUCCGGUAGGGGAGUUCGGAAUUCCCGGUGUAGCGGUGAAAUGCGCAGAUAUCGGGAGGAACACCAGAGGCGAAGGCGGGCUACUGGGCUGAUACUGACGCUGAUGCGCGAAAGCCAGGGGAGCAAACGGG